GGUACCGGUAAUUCGAGCACUUCGUCGUCAAUUAAUGCAAUGCGGUUUGGACACGGCAACCCUUGACGUGGUUUGGACACGGCAACCAUUGACGCGGUUGGCACGCGGUCCCUUGUUUUUUAAACUUUUCCCCCUGUCUUUUUUUUUCUCUCUCUCGAUCGUCUCGACUGAAAAGGGCAAGAACGCCGUCUGUUCAUCGCUUUUUAAAAUUUUUCCAUCGUCUUAGUCUCUCCCAUCUUUUUUUUCAUCUAAGCGAGGUUGGUAGGUUCGACCAUAAGCGAAGGGCCGUGACGUGGUGAUGACAAGAAGAACACUGUGGAUCUCCGUAAAGAAAGCAAGGCCGGAUUACUAGUGAGAGUGGAGAUCUUAGAUCUUCAUGACUGCGAGAUCUGCCCAUGCCCAUGCGAUGCGAAGAAGCAGCAGUAAGCGGAUCCAAAUUUCUUGGUCUGAAAGUGUCCGCGACACCACGCUUCAUCCUCUCCUUCCCACUUUCUUCUUGAUUUAUGGCGGUUUCUUCCUUCAUGGCACCUAAAAGGGAAAAGCCCUCUGCGUCGUCGAUUACCCGGAAAGAAAUGUCACCUUUGAAUGCUUCUGUUGCAGCAAGCGAUGAGAAGAUGGAGUGGAGUCAUUUCAUCGGUGUGGGCGGCAAAGGCCUGUCCGCUAUCUCGAUUCUCACUCCCGGGCAAGAUACGCUUCCUCCCUGCUCUUGUUUGCUCUAAUUCUUAGGUUGUUGAUACAUCCAUGUCUGUCUCUCUCUCUCUCUUUAAGGGCGUCCCUUAACUUCCUCCUUUGGCCGGCAGCCAUCGCCGGUGUGUGAUGGGUGUUGGCAGUCCUCUCCGCCCUUCAGUUGUGUUCAUGUGUGGUUUCCUAUUGGGGUUCCUCUAUAGUCGGUCAGGUUUAUCAUUGCAGGCUGGGGUCUUUCAUUUCGGCUCUGUGCUAGGAGUUUUGUUUGGGUUUCUUCCGUUGAAGUUGUUGCUGGUUUCUGACAUUUGGUUGGGCUUCUUCCGUUGAAGUUGUUGCUGGUUUCUGACAUUUGGUUCGCCAUUGGGUCGGAUGCUUUGGUCACCACUUGGAUCGCCGCUUUCUAGUUGCUGUUGGGUCUGCCGCUUGCGUCACUCUUGACGUCUACCUUUUGGUUCACCGCUGUCGGUUGGGCAUGCCGUUUAGUUGAUGUUGCUACUGAGUCGCCACUACCGCUUCUGUUUGCUGCUAGGUCGCAUUUAUCGUCUUUGGGUUUGUUGCUGGGUCAUUACUGUGACUAUUGUUGUGCAUUCAUCGCAUUAUGCAGCUGUUCAAAUUCCAACCAGCCAUCCGGGGAGAUUGGGCGUUUUUGUCAGGCUACAAGGAAUCCUUUGUGUUCAAGUGCCAACCAGUUCAAUGUCACACAAUUUUGUGGACCCCGUCCUGAUGACAAUGUGGACUCUUUUGGAGGCACUUCUAACUCCACAAAUGUUUCUCGAGUCCAGGCAUGUCCAACUCAAAAUUUCUAUGAAUAUGUUCUGUCAUCACUUGUUCCAUGUUUAUGUGCUGCUCCUAUUAAACUUGGAUAUCGUUUAAAAAGCCCUAGCAUCUCUAUGCUUCUGCCAUACGUUUCAUGCUUUUAUAUUUGCUCAUGUUUGGCCUUGAUUUGGAUCUUGAUGUCAUGCUGGCAUCAAUUGCUGGUAUAGUUGUAGUUUCUUCUCUCAUUGAAGAAAGCAUACUAAAGAGUAUAGUAAAAUUAACAAAAAACAUCUGUGUAAGUACCCUUGUUUUUGUUCAUGUGUAAUUGGUUUUCUAGUGUUCAGGACUUAAAGCUACAUAAUUAGUUUGACUUGGAGAUGUUUCCUUCUUCCCUUUUUCAAUGCUAAAAAAUGAGUUGAUUGUAGAAGCAUUAGCUUUGGUUAUUCACAUGUAAGCUGAUUAGUGGGUCAAUGUCUAAUUUGAUUUAAGUUCAUAACUGGUCGUAAACAACAACGUUAUGAUGCUUGGGGUUGUUUACGGCAUUGGAUUUUUGUAUAAUAAAAAUGAGACCUUAGCUGACGAUGCCUCUUUUUUUACGUACUAAAGUUUUAUCCUUCUUUUUGAAUUUUUAGUGUUUUUUGAUAGAAGAACCUAACCCAAACCAUUUGUGAAACUUUUAAUCAGUUGAAUACCCAACUUUUCUGGGAACUCCUCACCCUUAAACCAAUCUUUUGUAUAGAAGACCCUACUUUUAUGGGAGAUUUGGUGAAAUUCGUUCUUUUAACCAGCCAAGUUUUACAUUCACCCAUCUAUUUAGGGAGUACAGUUCCUUUCUCCUGGUGAUAUACCAUUUGAUGUCAAGAACUUUUGUAAAAGAGGAACUUUUCAGUUUUGCUUAAAAACAUUUUUAAAGUGUUUUCUCACACAAUGAUGUGCGUUGCUUUAUUCUUAGUACCUUUCCAAGUGGAAGGUGGAAAUUUCAAAUUCUUGUUGUCCAUCAAUGGAAGAGGAAAAUCGAAAAAAUCCUGGAUAUGAGCAGUGAAGAAAAAUCUUAUGAAGUUGAGAAAGUCAAGACUAGGAAAUGCUAUUGACUCUGGCGAUUAAGCAUUUGCAAGGAUUUAGCAGGAAAAUAUAUUGAGGGAGAAGCCAAAAUGCUCUAUAAGAUCUUGGCAGGUAGUAAAAUGAGAGUUGAGAGAUGGGCUCGGAGCUUGUGUAGUCGUUCCUCUGAGUUAGUAAUCGAGAGUACCGGGUAGGCAUAAAGGUGAUUUAUGUCUAUUUCGCGAAGAUAAUGAUUUAUGAACUUUUGACUCGUUGAAAACCCGUAAGGUGAAGCGGGUUGGACACGUGACAAAGCUACACAUAACUACCAAAGUGGUGGAGCUUCGUAGUAGCCUUUGGGGUGGUGAGGUAUUCCCUCAAAGGUGAAGGUC